rnacentral:sRNA from 2 species
AAUCUUAUACAGUCUAAUCCCGAAAGGGAACGGAGGAACCAUUUUUUUGGGGUUAAUUCUACAAAUUUGUAGAAGGGAUGUGAAACUCUUUCGCCAUCCUACCCGUCAGCUAACUUCGUCGGCUAAAGCGAAGGAGGUC